GACGUAGGUGGCGAACGUUAUCCGGAAUUAUUGGGCGUAAAGGGUGCGUAGGUGGCCUGACAAGUUAUCAGUGGUAAAUCGAGGCUCAACCUCGUGGAAACUGGUAAUACUGUCCGGCUCGAGUACAGGAGAGGUUAACGGAACUCUAUGUGGAGCGGUAAAAUGCACAGAUAUAUAGAAGAACAUCAAUAACGGCGAAGGCAGUUAACUAUUCUGUUACUGAACACUGAGGCACGAAAGCGUGGGGAGCAAAACGG
rnacentral:rRNA from 1 species